rnacentral:lncRNA from 1 species
GGGUGAGGCCCUGCCGCUCAGACAGAGCUGAGGCCAGCUUCCUGGUCCCACUUCUGCUCCCAGGGAGAGCUGGCAGGAGAGGUAACCCUCACACUUGGCUUUGGGGACACAAAUGAGGACUCUCUUUCUUUCCCUUGGCAGCUGUCACUGGUGAUAACAGCAGCACUGAGCUCCAGCAGCAGCAUUGGCUCUGUGCUCAUACGGUUACGCACACAUGGCCAGAUGGGUCCCCUGACUCCAAAGCGCAUUCCUUCCCCCAUACCACUUGGCCAGCUUGUUGUGGUGAAGGGGAUAUUAAGUCGCAGAGCGGGUGGACUCCUGAGCACCUACUGAGUGGGAAAAAUACAGCAGGGUGAGGGGAUUGAGUGGGAGUGCAAUCAGGGAAGACUUCCUGAAGGCAGUGACUGGUGACUGGAAUGAAGCAUGAGAAUGAGCCAUGCAGGUUGCCCAGAGAGAGCAUCCAGGCAGAGGGAGCAGAAAGUUCCAUCCUCGCCCAGCUCUGCCGGCCCAGGUACUUUCUCCUCUGCCUUCUACUCCCAGUCUCACUCCAGUGCAACACAUUUCAGUUUUCUGGGAACUCCUGAUGGAAAGUGGCUGUAUUUGUUC